rnacentral:rRNA from 1 species
UUCCGGUUGAUCCUGCCGGACCUGACUGCUAUCGGAUUGAUACUAAGCCAUGCGAGUCUUUGUAGUAAUACAAGGCAGACGGCUCAGUAACACGUAGUCAACCUACCCUAUGGACGAGAAUAAUCUCGGGAAACUGAGCAUAAUUCUUGAUAGAUCAUAAUGCCUGGAAUGGUUUAUGGUUAAAAUGAUUCGUCGCCAUAGGAUGGGACUGCGGCCUAUCAGCUUGUUGGUGAGGUAAUGGCCCACCAAGGCGAUUACAGGUACGGGCUCUGAGAGGAGAAGCCCGGAGAUGGGUACUGAGACAAGGACCCAGGCCCUAUGGGGCGCAGCAGGCGAGAAAACUUUGCAAUGUGCGAAAGCACGACAAGGUUAAUCCGAGUGAUUUCUGCUAAAGAAAUCUUUUGCCAGUCAUAAAACCACUGGUGAAUAAGGGGUGGGCAAGUUCUGGUGUCAGCCGCCGCGGUAAAACCAGCACCUCAAGUUGUCAGGAUGAUUAUUGGGCCUAAAGCAUCCGUAGCCGGCUUUGUUAGUUUUCGGUUAAAUCCAUGUGCUCAACGCAUGGGCUGCCGAAAAUACUGCAGGGCUAGGGAGUGGGAGAGGUAGACGGUACUCAGUAGGAAGGGGUAAAAUCCUUUGAUCUAUUGAUGACCACCUGUGGCGAAGGCGGUCUACCAGAACACGUUCGACGGUGAGGGAUGAAAGCUGGGGGAGCAAACCGGAUUAGAUACCCGGGUAGUCCUAGGUGUAAACGCUGUGGACUUGAUGUUGGGGGCGCUCCGAGCGCUCUCAGUGUCGAAGCGAAGGUGAUAAGUCCACUGCCUGGGGAGUACGGUCGCAAGGCUGAAACUUAAAGGAAUUGGCGGGGGAGCACCACAAGGGGUGAAGCCUGCGGUUCAAUUGGAUUCAACGCCGG